rnacentral:lncRNA from 10 species
GCACUCCCCCUGUCAUUCUCUUUAAAUUAGCCAAUUGGAAUUAGUUUAGCCUGUGCGGUCUAAUCCUAGCCAACGGGGGAAUGACACAGCAGCAGGGACCACGUGAGUCAGGAAUAAGAACGCUUUCCUCUCCCUUGUCCAAGUGUGCACUCACCAUUGCUCCAUCUGUAAGGGCACCCUUCUAUAAAGACAUACUUGCUUUCCCUUUGCACUUCUGCGGUGAUUGUAAGUUUCCUGAGGCUCCUGAACCAUGUUUCCUGUACAGCAUGCAGAACGUUAUUCCUAAUCCUCUAGCAAGUUUAACCUGAUGAAUUUGAGGCCUUCUGAAGCACAGUUCUUGAAAUUAAGAAGAUGGUGAUGAUGAUGACAGUGAUGGCAACAAUGAUGGAAGAGGUCUUAUUGCCUGCUCACUUCGUGCUUGACUCUCUCCUGAAAGCCUUCUCUUGGAGGACAUUAGCUUUCCCUAUCAUAAAAAUUAUUUAUGUUUCUGACGUGGCUGUUUCUGAUAAGGCAAAGCUCAUUAUAUUUAAGAACUACAUUAGUCAGUGCUUUUAAACCUAUAAUGAAAGUUACAUCACAUCAUGCCUAAAAGGGAGAAUUACAAAUUUUCCUCCGAAGAAGAUAGCCUGUACAACAAAGGGACUGCAAAAUUUUCCCAAUUUGCGUUGGUAAGGACUUGAAAGUAUGUUUGUAAAUUAAUAGGUUGUAAGGGUGUUAGAUCAAGGAGAACAUAUAUGUCUUAAAUUAUUGAUAUGGCUGUACUUACCUUAGAGGCAAAUUUUAAUGUGUUAGCUUGAGCGCUUGGAUGGUUCUAACAGCUGUCUUGGCUAAUUGAAGAUUUUAUUCAAUGGUUAUCCAUGAUCACUAAUCCUGAGAUGCCAAAAAUGCCCUUGUAUAUAUUAGAGUAGGGAUUCUAAACCUUUGGGUGGGGGUGUGUGUACCUGUGUGUGCAUAGGGGCCAUGAAUCCCUCUAUCUGGUUAAGCUAUGAACCUCUGUAGCAAAUAACUUUUUACAUUGAUAAGGUAAAAUACUAAAGAUUUUUUUUUUUUUAAAAACCUAAUUAUGUUGACUAUAUGUGUGAAUUUAAAAAUGUGGUAUAGUUAGGCUUGCCCCUGUGGCUCACUCCUGUAAUCCUACCACUUUGGGAGGCUGAGGCAGGUGGAUUGCCUGAGCUCAGGAGUUCAAGACCAGCCUGGGCAACACGGUGAAACCCCAUCACUACUGAAACCCAAAAAAUUAGCUGGGUGUGGCAGUGUGCACCUGUAAUCCCAGCUACUUGGGAGGCUGAGACAAAAGAAUCGCUUGAACCCAGGAAGCGGAGGUUGUAGUGAGCCAAGAUCAUGCCAUUGCACUCUAGCCUGGGUGACAGAGUGAGACUCCAUCUCAAAAUAAAAAUAAAAAUAAAAAUGUGGUACAGUUAAACAUGUGUGGUGUUUAAUAAUAUAUUAGUAACAAAACAUAAUAGAUUUGCAACUUCUGUGUCUUCAAAGUAGUGAUAUCUAUC